CGGCGCAUAGCCGAUCUUGACAUGGCGGCCGAGGCUGACAGCCUUGUCGCCGAACUUGUCGAGCGGUUUGGGCCGGUGCCGGAUUCGGUGCGCAACC
rnacentral:tRNA from 1 species